rnacentral:rRNA from 1 species
UACGGAGGGUGCGAGCGUUGUCCGGAAUCACUGGGCGUAAAGGGCGCGUAGGCGGCAGGCCAAGCGUGCGGUGAAAGUCCGGGGCUCAACCCCGGAUCUGCCGUGCGGACUGGUUUGCUAGAGCACUGUAGAGGCGAGUGGAAUUCCGGGUGUAGCGGUGGAAUGCGUAGAGAUCCGGAAGAACACCGGUGGCGAAGGCGGCAUCCUGGACCAACACUGACGCUGAGGAGCGAAAGCCAGGGGAGCAAACGGG